rnacentral:rRNA from 1 species
UUAACAGAACUGUGGGGACACAGGCAGAGAGCGUGAGCCGGGAAUGGAAAGACCGGUACAAGCGAGGUAGGAGAAGAGUUGGCAAAUCCGCUCUUUAAUCUGAAGACGUGAUGUGGACUGAAAAUAAGUAGGGAAGCACGUGAGCUGACUGUCGAGAAAAGCCGCUAUUGUUUGCAGGAUACCCGUACCGUAAACCGACACAGGUGGAUGAGGAGAGAGUCCUAAGGCCGACGGGAGAAGCAUUGUUAAGGAACUCGGCAAAAUGACUCCGUAACUUCGGGAGAAGGAGUGCCAGUAAGAUGGCCGCAGAGAAUUGGCCCAAGCAACUGUUUAGCAAAAACACAGGUCUAUGCAAAACCGAAAGGUGAGGUAUAUGGGCUGACGCCUGCCCGGUGCUGGAAGGUUAAGGGGAGAGGUUAGCGCAAGCGAAGCUUUGAACUUAAGCCCCAGUAAACGGCGGCCGUAACAAUAACGGUCCUAAGGUAGCGAAAUUCCUUGUCGGGUAAGUUCCGACCCGCACGAAAGGCGUAAUGAUUUGGGCACUGUCUCAACAAUGCACCCGGUGAAAUUGAAAUACCAGUGAAGAUGCUGGUUACCUGCGCCAGGACGGAAAGACCCCAUGGAGCUUUACUCCAGCUUGAUACUGGGAUUCGGUAUUGCAUGUACAGGAUAGGUGGGAGGCUAGGAAAUGGUAACGCCAGUUGCCAUGGAGCCAAUGUUGGGAUACCACCCUUGCAGUACUGGGUUUCUAACCAGCAGCCGUGAUCCGGCUGGGGGACAAUGUCAGGUGGGGAGUUUGACUGGGGCGGUCGCCUCCGAAAGGGUAUCGGAGGCGCUCAAAGGUUCCCUCAGAAUGGUUGGAAACCAUUCGAAGAGUGCAAAGGCAGAAGGGAGCUUGACUGCGACACCGACGGGUGGAGCAGGUACGAAAGUAGGACUUAGUGAUCCGGUGGUAUAAAGUGGGAUUGCCAUCGCUCAACGGAUAAAAGCUACCCUGGGGAUAACAGGCUUAUCACUCCCAAGAGUUCACAUCGACGGAGUGGUUUGGCACCUCGAUGUCGGCUCAUCGCAUCCUGGGGCUGAAGUAGGUCCCAAGGGUUGGGCUGUUCGCCCAUUAAAGCGGUACGCGAGCUGGGUUCAGAACGUCGUGAGACAGUUUGGUCCCUAUCCGGCGUGGGCGUAAGAUAUUUGAGAGGAGCUGUCCUUAGUACGAGAGGACCGGGAUGGACUGGCCGCUGGUGUAUCUGUUGUCUUACCAAAGGCAUAGCAGAGUAGCCAAGCCGGGAAGGGAUAAACGCUGAAGGCAUCUAAGCGUGAAGCCCCCCUCAAGAUGAGAUAUCUCAUAACGUCAAGUUAGUAAGACCCCUUGAAGACGACGAGGUAGAUAGGGCAGAGGUGGAAGUGUGGUAACACAUGGAGCUGACUGUUACUAAUAGGUCGAGGGCAUAACC